AGAAAAACAAUGGACAGAGGAGACCACUGUGAUUAUUAUGAGCAGAAUAAUUCCCAGUGUUUGGAGUGCACUUUGGAGCCAUGGUCUCCAAGACCCAACCCAGUCAAAAUCAAGUAAGUGA